rnacentral:rRNA from 1 species
GUCGAGAAUCUUUCACAAUGGGGGCAACCCUGAUGGAGCGACGCCGCGUGGAGGAUAAGGUCUUCGGAUUGUAAACUCCUGUCAUGCGUGAACAAGGUUGCUUGGUUAAUACCUGGGCAAAUUGAUGGUAACGCAAGAGGAAGCGACGGCUAACUCUGUGCCAGCAGCCGCGGUAAUACAGAGGUCUCAAGCGUUGUUCUGAAUCACUGGGCGUACAGGGUGCGUAGGUGGCGUGGUAAGUCAGAUGUGAAAGCCCGGGGCUCAACCUCGGAACUGCAUCCGAUACUGCCAUGCUAGAGUACUGGAGAGGUGACUAGAAUUCUCGGUGUAGCAGUGAAAUGCGUAGAUAUCGAGAGGAAUACCAAAGGCGUAGGCAGGUCACUGGACAGUUACUGACACUGAGGCACGAAGGCCAGGGGAGCGAACGGGAUUAGAUACCCGAGUAGUCC